rnacentral:rRNA from 1 species
UACGAAGGGGGCUAGCGUUGCUCGGAAUCACUGGGCGUAAAGCGCACGUAGGCGGAUUGUUAAGUCAGGGGUGAAAUCCUGGAGCUCAACUCCAGAACUGCCUUUGAUACUGGCGAUCUUGAGUCCGGGAGAGGUGAGUGGAACUGCGAGUGUAGAGGUGAAAUUCGUAGAUAUUCGCAAGAACACCAGUGGCGAAGGCGGCUCACUGGCCCGGUACUGACGCUGAGGUGCGAAAGCGUUGGGAGCAAACAGG